rnacentral:lncRNA from 1 species
UAUGGUGGCUCAUGCCUGUCAUUCCAGCACAUUGAAAGGCCAAGGCGGGUGGGUCACCUGAGUUCAGGAGUUCAAGACCAGCCUGACCAACUUGGUGAAACCCCAUCUCUGCUAAAAACACAAAAAUUAGCCAGGUAUGGUGGCGCAUUUCUGUAAUCCCAGCUACUCAGGAGGCUGAGGCAGGAGACUCACCUGAACCCAGGAGGUGGAGGUUGCAGUGAGUGGAGAUCACACCACUGGACUCUAGCCUGGGCAACGAGAGUAAAACUCUGCCUCAAAAAAAAAAGAAAAGAAAAGAAAAGAAAAGAAACUCAAUCAUCAAUAUUUAGUCACUCUUAAGACUGACCCAGGAAUAACAGAGCAGAUAAAAUCCAGCAAAUUAGACUUCAUUCAAGUACUUAGGUGUACUGUGAGCCACCAUGGUGCCUCUAAACACCAUGGAGGCAGUGGUCACUAUUCUUGCACUGAUGAAGAUGGCUGUGUACAGGAUUGGGGGCUUCAGGGGCAAUGGAAAGUGCCAGGACUGCAGCUCAGAGCCAGGCUUUUCCAUGAAGGACUUAUGGCCACACUUGUCACCUCUAGCUAGAAAAACAUUUUAGUAGAAAUGUCAUUUUAUUGUUUUAAUUCCAGAAAUGACUUCAGUGGCAAAUAGAACUUACUUUUUUACUGUUGUUGUUGUUGUUGUUGCAGAGUUUCACUCUGUUGCCCAGGCUGGAGUGCAGUGCUGUGAUCUCAGUUCAUAGCAGCCUCUGCCUCCCAGCUUCAAGUGAUUCUCCUGCUUCAGCCUCCCGAGUAGCUGGGAUUACAGGUGCCAGCCACCAUGCCUGGCUAAUUUUUUGUAUUUUUAGUAGAGAUGGGGUUUCACCAUGUUGGCCAGGCUGGUCUCGAACUCCUUACCUCAGGUGAUCCACCCACCUCAGCCUCCCAAAGUGCUGAGGUGGGAGGAUCACCUGAGGUCAGGAGUUCAAGACCAGCCUGGCCAAUAUGGCGAAACCCCGUCUCUACUAAAAAUACAAAAAUUAGCCGGGUGUGGUGGCAUGCGCCUGUAAUCCCAGCUCCUCAGGAGGCUGAGGCAGGAGAAUUGUUGGAGCACAGGGGGCAGAGGCUGCAGUGAGCCGAGAUUAGACCAUUGCACUGCAGCCUGGGCGACAGUGCAAGACUCUGUCUC